rnacentral:sRNA from 1 species
GAGCCGGCGGCGGGAGGAGCUAGGGCUGGAGCUUCUCCAGCCUCCCGCGAAGGUUUGAGCACAAAAUGAACAUAAUUAGGGAAAAUAAGGAUCUGGCAUGUUUCUACACAACAAAACAUUCAUGGAGGGGGAAGUAUAAGCGUGUCUUUUCAGUUGGAACUCAUGCGAUUACUACAUAUAAUCCCAAUACCUUAGAAGUAACAAAUCAGUGGCCUUAUGGAGACAUUUGCAGCAUCAGCCCUGUUGGAAAAGGACAAGGAACGGAGUUCAACCUCACAUUUCGUAAAGGCAGUGGAAAAAAGUCAGAAACUUUAAAAUUUUCUACAGAGCACAGAACAGAACUUCUUACAGAAGCAUUGAGAUUUAGAACUGAUUUUUCAGAGGGAAAAAUCACAGGAAGGAGAUACAACUGCUAUAAGCAUCACUGGAGUGACUCAAGAAAACCUGUAAUUUUGGAAGUAACUCCAGGAGGCUUUGACCAAAUCAAUCCUGCAACCAACAGAGUACUCUGUUCCUAUGACUAUAGAAAUAUUGAAGGAUUUGUAGAUCUCUCAGAUUAUCAAGGAGGAUUUUGUAUACUUUAUGGAGGAUUUAGUAGAUUGCAUUUAUUUGCAUCAGAGCAAAGAGAAGAGAUUAUUAAAAGUGCAAUAGACCAUGCUGGUAACUACAUAGGUAUUACAUUGCGGAUCAGGAAAGAGCCUUUAGAAUUCGAGCAAUAUUUGAAUCUUCGCUUUGGAAAAUACAGCACUGAUGAAUCCAUCACAUCUUUAGCAGAGUUUGUAGUCCAAAAAAUAUCACCUAGACAUUCGGAGCCUGUUAAAAGAGUUCUAGCACUUACAGAAACAUGUUUAGUAGAACGUGAUCCAGCAACCUAUAAUAUUGCAACAUUGAAGCCUUUAGGAGAAGUAUUUGCAUUGGUCUGUGACUCAGAAAAUCCACAACUUUUUACCAUUGAAUUUAUAAAAGGGCAAGUACGGAAAUAUUCUUCAACAGAAAGAGAUUCCUUAUUAGCAAGUUUGCUGGAUGGAGUAAGAGCCUCUGGUAAUAGAGAUGUUUGUGUAAAAAUGACACCAACCCAUAAAGGUCAGCGAUGGGGGUUACUCAGCAUGCCUGUUGAUGAGGAAGUAGAGAGCCUUCACCUCAGGUUCUUAGCUACACCUCCAAAUGGCAACUUUGCAGAUGCUGUAUUCAGGUUCAAUGCUAAUAUUUCAUACAGUGGAGUCCUGCAUGCAGUAACACAAGAUGGUCUCUUCUCAGAAAACAAAGAAAAACUGAUCAAUAAUGCCAUAACAGCAUUAUUGUCCCAAGAAGGGGAUGUCGUUGCUUCAAAUGCGGAACUUGAGAGUCAGUUCCAGGCCGUGAGGAGGCUUGUGGCAUCCAAAGCUGGUUUCCUAGCUUUCACUCAGCUUCCAAAGUUUCGCGAGCGUCUAGGGGUGAAGGUAGUAAAAGCACUCAAAAGGAGCAACAACGGAGUAAUCCAUGCAGCAGUUGAUAUGCUUUGUGCCCUUAUGUGUCCCAUGCAUGAUGACUAUGACUUAAGACAAGAACAGUUGAACAAAGCUUCUCUUCUCUCGUCAAAGAAGUUUCUGGAAAACUUACUGGAGAAAUUUAAUUCCCAUGUGGAUCAUGGGACUGGUGCCCUCGUUAUUAGUUCGCUCUUGGACUUCCUUACUUUUGCCCUCUGUGCUCCAUAUAGUGAGACAACUGAAGGGCAGCAGUUUGAUAUGCUCUUAGAGAUGGUAGCAUCCAAUGGAAGAACCCUUUUUAAACUUUUUCAGCAUCCUUCCAUGGCAAUAAUAAAAGGAGCUGGGUUGGUUAUGAAGGCAAUAAUAGAGGAAGGUGAUAAAGAAAUUGCUACAAAAAUGCAGGAGCUUGCCCUAAGUGAAGGUGCCUUACCUCGACACUUGCAUACUGCGAUGUUUACAAUAAGCUCAGAUCAAAGGAUGCUUACAAAUAGACAGCUAAGUAGACAUUUAGUGGGACUCUGGACAGCUGAUAAUGCAACUGCAACAAACUUGUUGAAACGCAUUUUGCCGCCAGGCUUGCUGGCAUACUUGGACAGCUCAGAUCUCGUACCUGAGAAGGAUGCUGAUCGGAUGCAUGUUAGAGACAAUGUGAAAAUAGCAAUGGAUCAGUAUGGAAAAUUUAAUAAAGUUCCAGAGUGGCAAAGACUAGCUGGAAAAGCUGCUAAAGAAGUUGAAAAAUUUGCCAAAGAAAAAGUGGAUCUUGUAUUGAUGCACUGGAGGGAUAGGAUGGGCAUUGCUCAAAAAGAGGUAAAAAUAAAAUUUGCUUCCAAAUUCCUAGCA